rnacentral:lncRNA from 1 species
UGUCUUUGCCUAAUUUGUGUUUCAAGAUUAUUGAUCUUUCGUAUUGAAGUUCUGAAAAUUAUAUUUUUUUCUUAGGUGGAGAAGUAUUGAAAAGAUGGAUCUUGAAGUUAUUCCUUUCAUUUUAGUAGUGUAACUAGCAAGAGCUCAAGAUUAUUUGCCGCCAUUCUUUGAUUACAGAAGUUUUUAUUUUGUUUGUUUCUUGCAUUGACAAAUGAAUUUUGAACUUGUUCUUGGAUAAUUUAUCUUUGGGAGAAAAUGAAUUGGUGGUGUAGGUUUGGGAAACAGUGGAUCAGGACACCCUGUGGAAAUUUAGGUUUUAUUAUGUGUUUAUUAUUUUCUUUGCUGCUAUUAUUCAUGGAUAAACUUGUGGAUUGGGAAUGCUUACCUCUUUAUGACAGGCACCGUAAAUGUCUGUGUCAGCCAUUUAAUUUUCUCUUUCUAGUCCACAGACAUUUCUUUCAGCAACUGAGUCAUUUAAUCGCAAAGAGAGUUUUGUUGCCUUUCAUGUUCUUUGUUGUCAAAACAACCUUGUUUCUUUUUUAUCAGCUAUAGUAUUUAGUUUCACUGCGAUCUCGGGAUGUGUUAUUUGGAAGUGAUGUGGUUACUCAUUUAAGGAUUGACGUGUUAUUUGGAAGUGAGGUGGUUAUUCAUUCGAGGAUUGAAUUCCAUUCCCUUUGACUUGCAUUGUUUGUGUUCAUUGCUAUCAAACAACUUUCUUCAUUUUAAAUGUAUGGAGUCUAUUUUUUUAAGAUGAAAUCCCCACUAAAUGUUUAUGUUUUAUUUUUUCUUUCUUUUUCAUCAUCUCCUAGUUAUUUGUGUUUCUCAUAGGCUUGGUCUCAUCCCUUCGACUUGCAUAUGUUUGUGUUCAUUGCUAUUGAACAACUUUCUUUUUUGCCAUUAGUCUUCUGGAGCUUUGCCAUGAGACUUCUUGAGUUUUGCCGUGAGACUUCUUGAGUUUUGCCGUGAGACUUCUUGAGCUUUGUCACAAGUCUUCUUGAGCUUUGCCACGAGUCUUCUUGAGCUCUGCCAUGAGUCUUCUUGAGCUCGGCAAUGAGUUUUCUUGAGCUUUGUCGUGAAGAAUGUAGGGGUCAGGUUUUGGAAACCGUGGAUGGAGAUGCAGUUAAAGUUUCGGUUUUAUUAUCUUUGCAUUUAUUAUGCUGAUAAAAAAAAUCUUUGCAUUCAUUAUUUUCUUUUUUGAUAUUCUUUUUGCUACUCUGGUGGAGUGGGAGUUCUUGUAAUUGGACCUUUGACUUUGAUGAUUUGAUUAUCUUCUACUUGUGUUGUAGAGAAUUUUGAGCUUUGCCAUUAGUCUUCUUGAGCUUUGCCAUGAGUCUUCUUGAUCUCUGCCUUGAGCCUUCUUGAACUCUGCCAUGAGUCUUCUUGAGCUUUGCCAUGAAUCUUCUUGAGCUUUGUCAUGAAUCUUCUUGAGCUUUUACAUGAAGGAUGUAGGGGUCAGGUUUUGGAAAUAGUGGAUGGAGAUACAGUUAAAGUUUAGGUUUUAUUAUCUUUGCAUUUAUUAUGCUGAUAAAAAAAAUCUUUGCAUUCAUUAUUUUCUUUGCUCCUAUUCUUUUUGCUACUCUUGUGGAGUGGGAGUUUUUGUAAUUGGGCCUUUGACUUUGAUGAUCUGAUUAUCUUCUUCUACUUGUGUUGCAAUGAACACUUACCAUGGAUGUUUGUUGGACAUAUUGUGAAGCUUCAGGUUUUAUUACUUUUCCACUCACUAUUUUUCUUAUGUGCUCGAUUUGGAAUGUGUACAGUUUCUCUUAUUUGUUGGAUAGUUGGAAGGUAUUUCAUUGUAUUGUAUGUAUCUAAGCAAGAGCAAUACUUCUAGGUCCUCCAUCAUCUAACCAUAUUGAUUAUAGUUUUCUUGAAUUCAUUGGCCUAAAAGGAAAGCUAAGCAAUGAAGUUUGGUGUAGGAUGUAAAAAUGGUUGGUGGAAAUUCUGUGAUCAGUGAAGCUAAAUGUUUCUCUCAUUAGGACAUUGUUGUGUUUAACUGAAUUAAUUUUUAACUGGCUAAACUUGUUGGUUUGAUUAUAAUCUUGGUUGUAUUUUGAUGGUGUAUGGUUCUAAGAGGCAUUGUGGGAUUAGCAUGAGACAAGUGUGGUUGGGCUUUACUCUUUUAUUUGAUGGUUUGCUUCUUGGUUUGGAAAGUUCUACUAUUUAAUUUUGAUGACUUCUCUGCAUAAUUCUAUAAUAUAGGUCUGUUGUUCUUUUAAUAGUUUUCCAAAACCUUUUGAUUCAUUAUUCUUGAUCCCAAACAUAGAAUUUUUGCAUGUAAUCUCGUGUGAUCCUAGACAACAAUGUCUCUUACUAUGAUGACGGACAUCAAUGUCUCUUACGCUGAAAUUUUUGAAAUUAGUAUAAGAAUGAUCCUGAAAUUGAAAUUGUUUAAAUGCUUCACUUUUGUUUCAACAAUCUCAUGUGUUUCUCGUUCCUUGAGUUUUGAAAUUUGCAUUUAUUUGUUUGCAACACAUUGAGUCUUUAUUUGAGGUUUCUCUUUCAGUUCAUUAACUCAGCAAGUGAUGGAAUAUAGUGGGACGACUAACAUGUUUAAUCAACCAGUUAUAGAUUUUUUUCUUUUUUUCCUUUAUUGUUUAUUGAGUUGAGUGCUUUGAAAAUAUUUCUGUAACCAAUUGGGAUUGAAAGUCCAGCGUUAUGCCUGGCAUUAGAUAAUUGGACUUCUUUUAUUAGUUAUCCAAACCGUUCAUUUUUUUCAUAUUUGUUCUAUUUGGACAGGAAUUGUAUGCGAGAGAGAUAAUGAAGUUUUGGAGGUGAAUUUGUUAAUUUCAGUUACGACUAUGGAGGAAUUGUAUUUUGGAGGUGAAUUUGUGAAUUUGUAUGAGACAACUUUGUUUCUCUGAAAUUUAGAGAGCCUCUUUAAUAUUGCAUGGUAGUUUUUUUAUACGAUAUACAAGUAUAUCCAGUUUUAUUUGGAUAUUUUUUAGCAACAAUGCUUUUGGAAUAGGAUUUGUUUGAGCGCUACCAUGAGAAAGUUCAACUUGAAACGACAACAACUCAUAAUAGCCUAAUUCCUUCUAUAUGAGGUUUCACCUUUUAUUUAACUUCUAAGGACUUGAUUACCAACAUUAGGAUUGAAUUGUGAUUUGUUUUUCUACAGUGGUUUAUGAUUGUCUUCAAACAAUGUUUGGAUCUCAUCGAGCCAGUUGGUUUCUGAGUUAAGAAUUUUUCUAAUAUUUUCUAAAAUUCCUCCCCUGAAACAAGUGUUUUUAGUUUUCUUGAAUUUUUGCUCUUUACAGAUAAGACAAGCAAUGGAUGUGUGACGACAUGUAGAAACAUGGGGAUCAAUUAAAGCCUUAGUUUGUCUUAAUUGGUGACUAGUUAUUUGAAUGCAGUUUUAUAUGUGGUGACAAUGAUCUAUCAAAAUAAAAAAAUUGGUUUAGGAUUUCCUCUCUAUUUGAUAUUUUCAGAUUUGAUCACCAAAUAUAAGGAUUUUCUGUUGCCAUUUGUUUCUCUGCAGUGAUGUUUGCAUUAUGGCUUUACAAGUCUUUCAGAGGAUCAGUAGUUUCAGAGGUGAAUUGUGUGUUGCAGUGUAAAUUGUUCAAGUUUAUUUAUUUGCAAAAGGGAUCAAUUCUCCAUUCAUUUUUGCAGAAGAUUAGAUGGCUAACAUUAUUGUUCGUUCAUUUGAUCCAGUAAGAGCUCAUUCUAGAAAUGUGGACUUCUCUUUAAAAGCCUUUGGUAUUUUAACUAUCUUCAAAAGAUAUUUUUUCUGGAUCUAUUGUUUUGACAGAGCAGGUCUUCGAGGAAGACACGAGUGUUGUUGAUUUUUAGAUUUGGAAUUGUUCAAGUACCAACAACAUGAUUUCAUGAUCUCUUAUGAUUUCCCCUGAAUUCUUGGUUGUUGUUUUGCCAGGGUAGGGUCUGGGUAGAUUUGGGUUUUUGGAUUCGGAAUUGUCCAACUACCAACAAUGUGUGUACAGGUUUGAAAUAGAUGAUGUGUUUGUCAGAUAUUUUCUAGGGAUAUAUAUAUAUAUAUAUAUAUAUAUAUAUAUAUAUUUAGUUGCUAGUUUUAUUUUUCAUUCAAUUACUUAAUUGCUUUAUUACUAUGAUCAUUUGAUUAUAAAAUUAUUCUUGGUAGUUAUAUAAUUAUUCAUGGUUGUUAGAUUACCUUUAAUAGUUACUGUUGUUGGAAAUAUAAUCUAGAAGUCCUUUGUUGGCUAAUGAUUCUCUAACAUUUUUUUUAAUUUUAUGGUAGUUGUAUUUUGCUUUGACAAUUUAGUUUAGUUUUUUUUAUUAACUCUGAUUGUUUCCAGCAUCGACACAUGAAUUUUGAACUUGUUCUUGCAUAAUUUAUCAUGGGAGAAAAUGAAUUGGUGGUGUAGGUUUGGGAAACAGUGGAUCAAGACCCUAUGGAAAUUUGGGUUUUAUUCUGUGUUUAUUAUUUUCUUUGCUGCUAUUAUUCACGGAUAAACUUGUGGACUGGGAAUGCUUACCUCUUUAUGACAGGCACUGUAAAUGUCUGUGUCAGCCAUUUAAUUUUCUCUUUCUAGUCCGCACUCAGACAUUUCUUUCAGCAACCAGUCAUUUAAUCGGAAAGAGAGUUUUGUUUCCUUUCAUGUUCUUUGUUGUCAAAACAACCUUUGUUUCUUUCUUAUCAGCUAUAGUAUUUAAUUCACUGCGAUCUCAGGAUGUGUUAUUUGGAAGUGAUGUGGUUAUUCAUUCGAGGAUUGAUGUGUUAUUUGGAAGUGAGGUGGUUAUUCAUUCGAGGAUUGAGUUUCAUUCCCUUUGACUUGCAUUUUUUUGUGUUCAUAGCUAUCAAACAACUUUCUUCCUUUGAAAUGUAUGGAGUCUAUUUUUUUAAGAUGAAAUCCCCUCUAAAUGUUAAUGUUUUAUUUUUUUUCUUUCUUUUUCAUCAUUUCCUAGUUAUUUGUGUUUCUCAUAGGCUUGGUCUCAUCCCUUCGACUUGCAUUUGUUUGUGUUCAUUGCUAUUAAACAACAUUUUUUUUAAAUGUAUGGAGUCUUUUUUGUUACGUCUAGAGAUGUUGAUUUGCUUGUUUUCAUUCCGUUUUAGGUGUUGAUUUGUUUGCGUUCAUUCCUUUUUAGGUGUUGAUUUGUUUGUGUUCAUUCCUUUUUAGCAUUUGGAGGCCUCAAGAAUGGUUGAGGAUUAAAAUCUGGAAGUGUUUAGAACGACCAAUAAUUCAGGAUAACCUAAUUUCAUUAGUUUCCUUUCCAUUUGAUUUCUUGAGAUUUGAUCACGAAGAAUAAGGAUUGAAUUGUCAUUUGUUUUUAUGAUGUCUUUCUUUGUUUUGAAUGUCUUAUUGUCUCUAUACUUCAACUCUAUGAGCCGUUGUAGCCUUCCUGAAUUCUUGGGGUGUACAGUACAGGACAAACAUGCAACAGAUGUUACGUAGGACAGAUGUGAGUAUCCUUAAAGCUCUAGGUUUUGGUAUCCACACAUAUUUUUGUCUUUAAUUGGGACUGGCUAUUUGAAUUUCUCUGGUUUUUGAAUUCCUUCAAUUCAUCUUAUGCUUUCUUAACUUCUUGGUCUUUAUUACCAAUAUCUAUUUUUAUUUAAAUAUAGUUCUUAAAUUUUUUAUGUCUAGGUGUUGAUUCGUUUGUGUUCAUUUCUUUUUAGCAUGUAAGACUGGUUAAGGAUUAAAAUCUGCUAGUGUACACGAAAAACAAGCCACGGAUGUGAGGUAGGAUAUCUAAAUACUGGAAGGAGAUGCUUGAUUCUGUAGGUUAUCCAUAAUCUUUGAUGACAGAUGCUUACUUGAGUUUGGAUGUAGUUAUUUAUUUGAUGAAAGAGAUCUAUCAUAUGUAACUUUGUGUUAGUUCCUUUUCAGCAGGGGAUUCUGGUUGAGGAUUAAAAAACAUAAAUUUGAAUAUUGAUUUUGUUUGAUUAUUGAAAUAUGACAAAUCUAGCUGUUUGAUCUUUGAAUAUGUUGAUUCUUUUUAGCAAAUCAUAGGUUAGUAAUAAUAAAAUGCUCAGGGAAGAUGUCUCCCCUUUACUUGAAACAUUGUAGAUAGAGCAUAUUUUUCCAGACUGAUAUGCGAGGUAGGGUGUGGAAACACUUCCCAGGGGAUUUGUGAAGCUUUAGGUUGUUACCUGUUAGAUAUUAUUAGAUAUUAUUAGAUAUUAUUAGAUAUUAUUAGAUAUAAUUAGAUAUUAUUUGAUAUUAUGAGAUAUUAUAGAUAUUGUUAGAUAUCUCAUAUUUAUGUAAUGGGCUUAGCCCAUAUGUUUCUUUUCCUAUAUAAACAUAACCCUAUGUGUUCAAUAUACACAAGGGAUUUACCCUAUUCUUUCUUUUCCUUUAAUAUUACCCUUACCAUUCUUGUGUCUUUAUUUGUGACUGACUAAACUUCUUGUUUGGAUUCUAAGUUUUGGUUGGAUUCAUUGCUAACAUUGUAGUUUGACUGGCAGUCUGGCAGUUCUUGUGGGUUUAGAGGUCGUGUAAUACUCUCUUUUUUAAGUUGUCCAUUUCUAAGUAAUUUAGGCUUCUCUUAGCUUUUACCAGUCCUGGAUUCAUAGUGAAAUUUGACCCUUUUACAUGGUGCAAUUGAAAUUAAGGAGAGAAUUAUUGAUCUUUAGUUUUCUAGUACUGAAUUAAUUUUGGAUUUGUUUUGGUGUAGCAAAUCUGAAAGGUCAUUUUCUUAGUUAUUACUUCAUUUACUAAAUAAUCAAGAGCAUUGGACAAUUUGAUUUUGUAGUGUUUUGUUUGCUGCAUUGACAAAUGAAUCUUGCAUUCUAUUGUUUUUAGGAGUUUUAGAUUACAUCCUGAAUAUGACAUGAUGAUCUCUUCUAUCUUCCAAAAUGAGAAUGAUCUGCAACAUUAGAGUUGUAUUUAGUUCUAUGUCCAAUGUGAGAAUGAGAAAAUUAAGAGCUCUAUUUAGUUUUAUCUCCAAUUAUCUCUAAUAUGAGAAUGAGAAACAACAGUAGUUGGAAUGUUUUCUUGCAAUCUUCCUGUGCUAUGAUUUAGUUCUCUCUCCAUAUAUGAGAAUAAGAAAAUGAGAAAGAGAAACAAGAUUAUUUGGAAUGUUUUGUAGUAAUCUUCUUGCACUAUGAUUCGGUUCUCUCCCAAUAUGCGAAUGAGAAACAACAAUAUUUGGAAAGUUUUGUCGUAAUCUUCUUGUGCUAUGAUUCGGUUCUGUCCCCAAUAUGCGAAUGAGAAGAUGAGAAACAACAGCUUAUGAGAGCUCCAUUUGGUUCUAUCUCCAAUAUGAGAAUGAGAAACAACAGUACAUGAGAGUUCUAUUUAGUUUUAUCUCUAAUACGAUAAAGAAGAGAAACAAAAGCAUUUGGAUUGUUCUCUUUGUAAUCUUCGUGUGCUAUGAGCAACGCCUCCCCUCGAGGCUAUGGUUACGGGUGAUGCCUCUCUAUUCCAACAUGAGAGCUCUAUAUAUUUUUUUGGGGUGGGGUCUCAAUUUAUGAUACCAUGUGGAAGCAGACACCAUAUUUUUGCCGUCUAUAUUUCUCAGCUCUUGCUGAUUUUGCCAUGCUGAACUUAGUUUUCUUGAAUUGCCAUUCUUCUUAAAUUUUUACAGUAAAGCAAUAGAUAUGUGGGGGCAGGUUUUGGAAACAUUGUAUGGAGAUCUGGUGAAACUUUAGAUUUUAUUAUCUUUGCAUAUUCAUCAUUUUCUUUGAUGGCUAAACUUGUGGAUUGGGAGUUCUUGUAAACAGGCACUAUGUGAGUUUGAGAGGCUUUGGCAAUUGUGUUGUUAGGCCUUCGAUCCUGGUGAUUUGAUAAUCUGUUGCAGUGAAGACUUUAUGGAUGUCUGUUACCCAAAUUACGGUACAUUAUUGGACUUACAUUUCCAUUUCACUAUUUUUUUUAUAUCCUUGAUUUGGUUGUGGUAUCUCUUAUUGGUUGAAUAGUGGGAAGGCACAUGUGAAUCUUAUGAUGUAUUGCCUUUAAUAGUUUUUGCUGUUGGAAAAAUAAUCUAGAAGUCCUUUCUUAGCAAAUUAUUCUCAUUAUUGUAGAAAUUCUAUAACAUUUAUUCAGGUUUUACUUUCUACAAUUAGUUUAUUUUUAUCCACUCCGAUAACUAAUUAAAUAUUUACUUUCUCUAGAAAGUAGACUAUGUGAUUGAUAUAUUUUAAUGUUAUUCAUAAAUUAGUUCUUUAUAUUAAUCAUUACAAAAAUGUUUGGUAUACACUCAUAUUUAUCAUAUUGCCUUCAAGUAGAAAGGUAUUUGUAUAGGGCAAUUGCUUCCUCCCCCAAUCAAUUUUGACUAGCAUUCAAUAGAAGUUUUAAAACUUCAUUAUGCCUUUUUCACGGCUUACGAAUGCCAAUAUCCAAAAGUGACAUAUUUGCCUAUGGAUAUUGCCAUUUGGAAGUGAUAGUUUUGCCUACGGAUAUUAACAUUCGAAAGUGUCAGUUUUGCCUACGGAUAUUGACAUUUGGAAGUGUCAGUUUUGCCUACGGACAUUGGCAUCUGGAACUGGCACUCUUUGAUUGCGUUCAUUUUUAUCCGAAAGGCACUAUCAUUUUUCUUAAUAUACAUAUCAGGAAGCCAAUCAUCCUUAACUUUUUUUUUUGGCAGUGUAAUGAUUUUGUUACUUUUAAUGGAUUAAAACCACUAAACCGAACCAAUUUAAAGAAUAAAAGUAAAAUCAACAUUAAAAUUUGUUACUUGCUUUUUAUUAUAAAAUAUUUAUAUUAUCAUUUAUAUAUUUUCAAAUGCAUUAACCAUUGAUGACAUAUAGAACAUUGUUGAGAGUAGAAAAAAAGCACCCAAUAAACACAUUUUGGAUUUUCAAAAUGGGACCUGAUGAAAAAGACUUUCGUGGUGCAUAUGGAUGUUUAUAUUCAUAACUCAUAACACAAUUACGGACAAAAAUAUUCAGAACCCGUGAGAAGCGUGAAGCGACACGUCUCCUUUUCUGGUGUCUUUGCUUUCUGUCGUUGUUGAAGUGGCUCAAAAGCGUUGCUUGCGUGUGUGUAAGACUUUCGGAAGAGAAUGUCUACAAGAAACAAUGAAUGACCUUCUGCACUGUGCUUGAUUGUGGGGUGUAUGGAACCUAAUUUCACUCAUUAAGGGUGUCAUGGUAAUUUCAUAUAGAUCAUUAAGGGUGUUAUGGUAAUUUCAAACAGAAAAUUGGGUGUUAGUUAGAAUUGAUUGGGUGCAGGAGAGUCAGCUUUGUGUAGCAAUAAAAAGUCACAAAGAAAUCUAUUCAACUCUAAAAGGUUGUGAUAUUUAACACCACAAAGAGUAAAAAACAUUCACAAAUUAAUAAAAUAAUAUUUUAAUCAUAUUUAAUUUAUUUUUAUUUUUAAAUAUUAUUAUAUUAUUAUAAUGAGAUGUUAAGUAUACGUUUUUACAUGGUGUCAAAAAAUUAUUUUCCUAUUCUAAAAGAACUUAGACAAAUGUCUUAUUAUAAUAAAACUAAUAAUGUGGAAAAUAUUUUAAAAAACACUAAUAAAAGAAAUAAGUUUAUUUUUCAAAUUGAAGUCAAAUUAAGAUUAAAACAAUCUUAAAAUUUAAUUAUAUUGACUAAAAAGUUAAUAAAAACAAAACAAUAUUUACAAGAUAUUUUUAAAUAUCUUUAAAAUAAUAACUGCAAAUUUGUUUCCCCUGUUUUGUGUCAGCGGUUUGUUAUAAGAUAAGGAUGAAAAUCUUAAUUGCAUAUUUUCACCUCACCGCGUAAUAUAAGCUGUCAAUCUUGACCCUCCCUUUCUAUAUAUACCCGAAGAUCUUAUUGAGUUUAUCAUAUUGAGUUUUGUUGGUAUUGGUUCCGUGAUUGAGUUUUGUUAGUACUGAUUGGGGGUGAUUGUUGUGCUUCUUAUUAUCAAGUCUCCGUGGUUUCGUCGAAUUAUAUCAUGUUUGCUAUCAUCGAUGUGGUUUUGAUGUGGUUUUGUCGGAUUGAAGAAUGCAAGAAUCUUUUAUAGGAUUGAAGAACGCCAAUUCUGAAUAUGAUUCUUUAUGUGAUGAUGACAAGUUUUGAAUCUUUUGAUCAAAUUCCUUUAUCCCUUUUCUGCUGGUGACGGGGUCUUUGAGUAUUUUCUUCUACUUUCCUUUCUAUUAUUUGAUUUAUCUGGUAUUGAUCACGAAAAUAAGGAUUGGACUAUGAUUUGUUUAUCUGCAGUGGUGUAACACGUUUCUUAGUUAGUUUUCUUGAUUUUUGGGCUGUACAGGGAAGACACGCAAUGGAUGUGAAAUGAAGUAUUAUGUUUUCUUGACUUCUUAUGGGUUUAUUCGUGACUGAUUAUUGGAUUUCGUAGCCUAACUUGGUGUUUAUGUUCACUCCCCUUCAGCAAUUCGAGUUUCUGAGAUUUGAAACCCUAAAAAGUUUGAAACGGUUGCAGCUCAGGACAUCCCAAUUCUCUCUAUCUAUUGUUUAAUUUCUCUCUACUUUAUCUCCAAGGAUUGAAUUGUGUUCGACGUUUGAAUUAUUUUCCCUUAAUGUUAUGAGGCCCCAAGGGUUGAAUUGGUGUUUGAAUUAUUUUUUUCGCUUAAUGUCCUGCAGAGUAUGUUAUGAGACAUAAGGGCUGAAUUGUGAUUUGUUUCCUGUUUGGAUGAUUUGCAUAGCAUCUUAUAGAAUAUGAAUGGUUUGGUUUUCGCACGGUUCUCGCGAGUAUGUUAUAGCCACCAUUCUUCCUUGGUUUUUAAGUCUUCAAUUUAUCUUAUCGUUCUAUACUUCAUCCUCGAUUACCAGUUAUACUUUGUUGAAUUAUUGUUCUUUACAGGGAUGAGUGGGGAUAAGACAGGGAUGUGUGGGUAGGACGUUCCUCGUGGUUGGUUGAAAAUGGUGGAUGAGCCAUGCUCGACGGUAUGAAAAACACAACGACAAUGGGCUCGACAUAACCGAAGUCUUUUUUGAGUUUUCCUUCUAUUUUUCUUCAACAUAAGGAUAUGAUUUGUUUAUCUGCAGUGGUGUUUUGAACCUUUUGCGUAAAUUUCUUUGCUCCUUUUCAGUUGGUGGCCGAUUCUCUGGCGUUUCUUUAGCUUUUGGAUGAUUUGAAAACUAGAACGACCAAGAGCUAGGCAUAACCUAAGUCUUUGUUGAGUUUCCCUUCUUUAACUUUUUUUUCUGCUAUUGAUCACAGUACAUAAGGAUUGAACUAUGAUUUGUUUAUCUGCAGUGGUGUUUGGAUUAGUUGGGUAACGACACAUACUCAUCUUAUCAUGUUCCUAUAACUAGUAAAUUCAUUUACUGAAUUUUGAGUAUAAUUGUCUAUUUGAGUAUGACGAGUUUUAUACCUUUUGCGUAAAUUUCUUUUCAGCUGGUGGCUGGUUUUUUGGUAUUUCUUUUGCCUAUGGAUGAUAUGGAAAGCACAACGACCAAGGGCUCGACAUAACCUUAAGUCUUUUUUUAGUUUCCCUUCUAUUUUUGUUAUGGUAUUGCAUAAGGAUUGAACUAUGAUUUGUUUAUCUGCAGUGGUGUUUGGAUUAGUUGGGUAACGUCACAUAUUAAUCUUAUCAAGUUUCUAUAAUUAGUAAAUUCAUUUAUGUCUAUAUGAGAAUGACGAGUUUUGAACCUUCUGCGUAAAUUUCUUUGCACCUUUUCAGCUGGAGUUCUCUGUCAUUUCUUUCUCCUAUGGAUGAUAUGAAAAGCAGAAGGACCAAGGGGCUCGACAUAACCUAAGUCUUUUUUGACUUUUUUUUUCUAUUUUUCUUUUUCCUGGUAUUGAUGACAGUACAUAAGGAUUGAACUAUAAUUUGGUUAUCUGCAGUGGUGUUAGGAUUAGUUGGAUAACGACGCAUAUUCAUCUUACAAGUUGCUAUAACUAGUAAAUUCAUUUAUGUGAAUUUUGAGUAUAAUUCUCUAUUUGAGUUUGACAAGUUUUAAACCUUUUGCGUAAAUUUAGUUUCAGCUGGUGGCUGGUUUUUUUGCCUUUCUGUUGCCUAUGGAUGAUAUGAAAAGCACAAUGACCAACGGGCUCGUCAUAACCUAAGUCUUUUUUGAGUUUUCCUUCUUUUUUUCUUUUUCCUGGUAUUGUUCACAGUACAUAAGGAUUAAACUAUGGUUUUGUUUAUCUGCAGUGGUAUUUGGAUUAGAUGGGUAACAACGCAUAUUCAUCGUAUCAAGUUUCUAUAACUAGUAAAUUCAUUUACGUCAAUUUUGACUAUAGUUCUCUAUUUGAGUUGACACUAUAGUUCUUUAUUUGAGUAUGACGAGGAAAAUUACUUAAAUUUCUUUUCAGCUGAUCAAGGGCUCAACAUAACCUUAAAUCUUUUUUGACUUUCCCUUUUAUUAUUUUUUUUAGGUAUUACAUAAGGAUUGAACUAUGAUUUGUUUAUCUGCAGUGGUGUUAUGAUUAGUUGGGUAACUUCACAGAUUCAUCUUAUCAAGUUUCUAUAAUUCAUUUAGGUGAAUUCUGAGUAUAAUUCACUAUUUGAGGAUGAUGAGUUUUGAACAUUUUGUGUAAAUUUCUUUGCAUAUUUUCAGUUAUUGGCUGGUUCUCUGGCAUUUCUUUUGCCUAUGAAUGAUAUGAGAAGCACAACGACCAAGGGGCUCAACAUAACCUAAGUCUUUUUUGAGUUUUCCUUAUAUUUUUCUUUUUACUAGUAAUAAUAACAGUACAUAAAGAUUGAACUAUGAUUUGUUUAUCUGCAGUGGUGUUUGGACUAGUUGGGUAACGACGCAGAUUCAUUUUAUCAAGUUUCUAUAACUAGUAAAUUCAUUUACGUGAAUUUUGAGUAAAAUUCUCUAUUUGAGUAUGACGAGGUUUAAACCUUAUGCGUAAAUUUCUUUUCAGCUGGUGGCUGGUUUUUUGGCAUUUCUUUUGCCUAUGGAUGAUAUGCAAAGCACAACGACCAAGGGCUCGAUAUAACCUUAAGUCUUUUUUGAGUUUCCCUUAUAUUAUUCGUUAAUGGUUUUACAUAAGGAUUGAACUAUGAUUUGUUUAUCUGCAGUGGUGUUUUGGAUUAGUUGGGUAACGUCGCAUAUUCCUCUUAUCAAGUUUCUAUAGUUAGUAAAUUCAUUUAUGUCUAUAUGAGGAUGACAAGUUUUGAACCUUCUGCGUAAAUUUCUUUGCACCUUUUCAGCUGGCGUUCUCUAGCAUUUCUUUCUCCUAUGGAUGAUAUGAAAAGCAGAAGGACCAAGGGGCUCAACAUAACCUAAGUCUUUUUUGAGUUUUUUUUUCUAUUUUUCUUUUUCCUGGUAUUGAUGACAGAACAUAAGGAUUGAACUAUGAUUUGUUUAUCUGCAGUGGUGUUUGGAUUAGUUGGAUAACGACGCAUAUUCAUCUUACAAGUUUCUAUAACUAGUAAAUUCAUUUACGUGAAUUUUGAGUAUAAUUCUCCAUUUGAGUGUGACGAGUUUUAAACCCUUUUUGUAAAUUUACUUUCAGCUGGUGCCUGGUUUUUUGGCCUUUCUGUUGCCUAUGGAUGAUAUGAAAAGCACAACAACCAAGGGCUCGACAAAACCUUAAGUCUUUUUUGAGUUUCCUUCUAUUUUUUUAUGGUACUACAUAAGAAUUGAACUAUAAUUUGUUUAUCUGCAGUGGUGUUUGGAUUUGUAUAACGUCACAUAUUCAUCUUAUCAAGUUUCUAUAAUUAGUAAAUUCAUUUAGGUCUAUAUGAGGAUGACGAGUUUUGAACCUUUUGCGUUAAUUUCUUUGCACCUUUUCAGCUGGAGUUGAGUUGUGAACUUGUUUGGAAGUUUUGCAUGUAAUCUCCUUUGAGCCUAGACUGCAAUGUCUCUUAUGCUGAAAUCUUUGAAAUCAGAAUAAUGAACCGGAGUGACAACAAUGCUCUAACGCUGAAAUUUUUGAAAUCAGUAUAAUAAUGAUCCUGAAAUUGUUUAAAUGCUUCACUUUUGUUUCAACAAUCUCCAUUUAUGUUUCUCAUUCUUCGAGUUUUGAAAUCAGCAUUUAUUUGUUUGCAGCACAUUUUGUCUUUAUUUGAGGUUUCUCUUUCAGAUUGUUAACUCAACCAGUGAUGGAAUAUAGUGGGACGGCUAACAUGUCUUAUCAACAAGUUUGAGUGUUUAUCCAAAACCAUUCCAUUCAUUUCUUUUUCAUAUUUGUACAAUUUGGAAAAGGAUUGUAUCCGAGAAAGAUAAUGGAGUUUUGGAGGUGAAUUUGUUAAUUUUAAUCAGAUUGACGAACGUCUCUUGGACAGGAUUUCGUCUCUAUUUGAUAUUUUCAGAUUUGAUCACCAAACAUAUGGAUUUUCUGUUGUCAUUUGUUUUUGUGCAGUGAUAUUUGCAUAAUGUUUCAUGCUACGUCUAAUCAAUCAUGUUGUUUGGAAGUUUGUAUGACUCUUGAUAACAGGCUUUACAAGAGUUUGGGAGGAUUAGUAAUUUCAGAGGUGAUACCUAUUAUCAUAUUUGUGUCUUGUAGUGUGAACUGUUCAAGUUUAUUCAUUUGCAAGAGGGAUCAAUUCUCCACUUUUGAUGCAGAAGAUUAGAUGGCUAACAUUAUUGUCCGUUCAUUUGAUCCAGCAAGAGCCCAUUCUAGAAAUGUGGUCUUCUCUUUAAAGGCCUUUAGUAUUUUACUAUCAUAAAUAGAUAUUAUUUCUGGUUCUAUUGUUUUGACUGAGAGGAAGUCACAAGUCUUGUUGAUAUAUGAUGAUCUCUUAUCAUUUCCCCUUAAUUCUUGGUUGUUGUUUUGACAGGGUAGGGUUUGGGGAGUCUGGGUUUUUGGAUUAGGAAUUGUCCAACCACCAACAAUGUGUGUACAAGUUUGAAAUAUAUGAAUGAAGGCUGUCAAGGAAAAUGAUUACAGCAAUGAAGGCUAAAAAAAAAAUUGCGGAAGCAGAGUCUCCUAGAUCAGGAUAUAUAUAUGCUAGAGUGGAAAGAAAUAGAUGAAAUAUAUUUCUGAGAUAUCUUACAAAUGUGAUUACAGUCUCUAUUUAUAGACUGUUUUACAACCUAAUUAAAGAAAGAAAUAAUAGGUGAUGAAAGCCAGAAAUAAAUAAUGAGUGUUUAAAGCUGUACAAAUCAAAUAAAAUAAAAUCACUAACAAAUCUGUACUAAUAAAUAUAAAAUGGAAUCUGCACUUAAUUAUAACAUAAUUCUCCUGAUUAUGCAACAGUUAGUUUGAAUUUUAUUGAAUUACAUAAAUGCUUUAUUAAUAUGAUCAUUUGAUUAUAGCAGAAUUGUAGUGGUUUUUAUAAAAUUAUUCUUAGUAGUUAUAUAAUUAUUCAUGGUUGUUAUAUUACCUUUAAUAGUUAUUGUUGUUGGAAAAAUAAUCUAGAAGUCCUUUGUUGGCUAAUGAUUCUCUAACAUUUUUUUAAAAAUUUUAUAGUAGUUGUAUUUUGAUUUGACAAUUUAGUUUAGUUUCUUUUAUUGACUCUUAUAGCUAAUUAAUAUUGACUUUCAUUAGAAUGUUGAUGAUGAUGUGAAUGAUGUGUUUUAAUGUUGAUUGUGUUGUGAUUCUAUUUUAUAAAAUAUUGUUUUAUGGUAAUCAUUAAUCAAUUGCUUUGUAUACACUCAUUUAUCAUAUUGCUGUAUGACAAAUCUUAAAGCCCUCUAAGAGAAAGGUUCCUGGGUUGCUUUGUGGAAAGUUUUAAACUCGCUCGCAAUGGUAAAGGAUGGAUCAAUGUGCUUUUAUGCAAGAAUUAUUAGUAAAUUCAUUUACGUGAAUUCUUAGUAUAAUUCUCUAGUUGAUUAUGACGAGUUUUUAACCUUUUCAGCUUAUGGCUGGUUCCCUAACAUUUCUUUUGCCUAUGGAUGAUAUGAAAAGCCCAACAAUCAAGGGCUCAACAUAAAGAAAGUCUUUUUUGAGUUUCCCUUCUAUUAUUCUUUUUGCUGGUAUUGAUAACAUAAGGAUUGAACUAUGAUGUGUUUAUCUGCAAUGGUGUUUGGAUUAGUUGGGUAACAUCGCAUAGUCAUCUUAUCAAAUUUCUAUACUUUGUCUUAAUAAGAGUGUUUAUUGUUUCCUUCAAUUUUUGGACUAUCGUUUCCUUCAAUUAAAUUUGGUGUUUGUGUUCAUUCCUUUUCAGCAAGUCCUGAGUCUUUGAGAUUUCUUUUGGUGGUUGAGGAACUACAGAAUGGUUGUAGAUCAGGAUAUCCUAAUUUCUCUAUACUUGAUCACCGAACAUUGAAUAGUGAUUUGUUCUUAUGCAGUAAACAUAAGGAUUUAAUUUUGAUUAUUUUCGUAUAAUGUCCUUUAUCUCAUGGAGUAUGUUAUGUGGCAUAAUAGUUUAAUUGUAAUUUGCUUCUUUGCAGCGUGAAAUUGGCUUACCGUAUUGCAUCUUAUGGGGUAUGUUAUGAGUGACCGUGUCUCCCUUAAUUUUUUAAUUUAUCUAAUAGUCCUUUAUUACCUGUUAUAGUUUUGUUGAAUUAUUGUUCUUUAUAGGGAUGUGUGGUAAUUAGCAAGAGCUCAGGACUAUUUGGUUUCAAUUUUUUUAUAACAAAACUUUAUUUUGCCUUUAUUAGUUUCCUUCAUUGACAAAUGAAUUUUGAACUUGGUUCUUGCAAAGCAUCAAUGUCCUUGCCUAAUUUGUGUUUCAAGAUUAUUGAUCUUUCGUAUUGAAGUUCUGAAAAUUUAGGUGGAGCAGUAUUGAAAAGAUGGAUCUUGAAGUUAUUCCUUUCAUUUUAGUAGUGUAAUUAGCAAGAGCUCAGGAUUAUUUGCCUCCAUUCUUUGAUUACAGAACUUUUUAUUUUGUUUGUUCCUGCAUCGACAAAUGAAUUUUGAACUUGUUCUUGCAUAAUUUAUCAUUGGGAGGAAAUGAAUUGGUGGUUUAGGUUUGGGAAACAGUGGAUCGGGACCCUGUGGAAAUUUAGGUUUUGUUCUAUGUUUAUUAUUUCUUUGCUGUUAUUAUUCACGGAUAAACUUGUGGACUGGGAAUGUUUACCUCUAUAUGACAGGCACUGUAAACGUCUGUGUCAGCUAUUUAAUUUUCUCUUUCUUGUCCACACUCAGACAUUUCUUUCAGCAACUGAGUCAUUUAAAAGAGAGUUUCGUUUCUUUUCAUGUUCUUUAUUGUCAAAAUAACCUUUCUUUCUUUCUUAUCAGCUAUAGUAUUUAGUUUCACUGUGAUCUCGGGAUGUGUUAUUUGGAAGUGAUGUGGUUAUUCAUCCAAGGAUUAAUGUGUUAUUUGGAAGUGAUGUGGUUAUUCAUUCAAGGAUUGAGUUCCAUUCUCUUCGACUUGCUUUUGUUUGUUGUGUUCAUUGCUAUCAAACAACUUUCUUCCUUUUAAAUGUAUGGAGUCUAUUUUUUUAAGAUGAAAUCCCCACUAAAUGUAAUGUUUUUUUUUUCUUUCUUUUUCAUCAUUGCCUAGUUAUUUCUGUUUCUCAUAGGCUUGGUCUCAUCCCUUCAACUUGCAUUUGUUUGUGUUCAUUGCUAUCAAACAGCUUUCUUCUUUUUAAAUGUAUGGAGCCUUUUUUGCUACGUCUAGAUGUUGAUUUUCUUGUGUUCAUUCAUUUUUAGGUGUUGAUUUGUUCGUGUUAAUUCCUUUUUAGCAUCUCGAGACUGCCGGAAUGGUUGAGGAUUAAAAUCUGAAAUUGUUUAGAACCACCAAUAAUUCAGGAUAACCUUCAACUUUGUUUUAGGUGUCAUUUGUUUUAUGUCUCUCUUUGUUUUAAAUGUCUUAUUGUCUCUAUACUUCAACUUUAUGAGCCGUUUGUAGCCUUCCUGAAUUCUUGGGGUGUACAGGACAAACAUGCAACAGAUGUGAGGUAGGAAAGAUGUGAGUAUCCUUGAAGCUUGAAUACUGGCAGGAGAUCCUUGAAGCUUUAGGUUUUGGUAUCCACACAUAUUUUUGUCUUUAAUUGGGACUGGCUAUUUGAAUUUCUCUGGUUUUUGAAUUCCUUCAAUUCAUUAAUUCAUUUUGUCCUUUCUUAAAUUCUGGGUCUUUAUUACCAAUAUCUAUUUGAAUUUAAAUAUAGUUCUUAAAUUUUUUAUGUAUAGGUGUUGAUUCGUUUGUGUUCAUUCCUUUUUAGCAUGUAAGACUGGUUGAGGAUUAAAAUCUGCAACUGUACACGAAAAAACAAGCAACGGAUGUGAGCUAGGAUAUCUGAAUACUGGAAGGACAUGCUUGAUUCUAUAGGUUAUCCAUACUCUUUGAUGACAGAUGUCUACUUGAGUUUGGAUGUAGUUAUUUAUUUGAUGACUGAGAUCUAUCAUAUGUAACUGUUUAUCUGCUUGUGUUAGUUCCUUUUCAGCAGGGGAUUCUGGUUUAGGAUAAAAAAACAUAAAUUUGAAUAUUGUUCUUGUCCGAUUAUCAAAAUAUGUAAAACCUAGCUAUUUGAUGUUGAUUCUUUUUUAGCACAUUAAAGGUUAAUAAUAAUACAAUACUCAGGGAAGAUGUCUCCUCUUUAUUUGAAACUUUGUAGAUUGAGCAUAUUUUUCGAGACUGAUAUAUGAGGUAGGAUGUGGAAACACUGGGAUUUGUGAAGCUUUAGGUUUUGUUAUCCUUACAUUUCUUAUGUUUUUAUUUGUGACUAACUAAACUUCUUGUUUGGAUGCUAAGUUUUGGUUGGAUUCAUUGCAGACCUUGUAGUGUGUCUGACAGUUCUUAUUGGUGUAUAUGUAGCAAUCACUAGCAGACUAUUAGAGGUCCUGUAAUUUGGGGAGGAUUUGUCUGACAGAAUUUCUAACAACUUAAUAUGAAGUACUGAAUUAAUAGUGAAAAAAAAGAUAAAGAAAAAAUAUCAUGGCCAUUAAAAGUUUAUGUUUCUUGUCCUGUUCAGCCAUGGCACUUGUCAGUGAGCUCUUGCUUCUUUCUCUAUUGCCCCAUAUGCAUACUUUUUCGCAUUUCUUACUCUUUUUUUAAGUUGUUCAUUUUUAAGUAAUUUAGGCUUCUCAUACUGGUUUCAUAGUGAAAUUUGAGCCUUUUACAUGGUGCCAUUGAAAUUAAGGAGGGAAUUAAUGAUCUUUAGUUUUAUAGUACUGAAUUAAUUUGGAUUUGCUUAGGUGUAGCAAAUUUGAAAGGUCAUUUUCUUAGUUAUUACUUCAUUUACUAAAUUAUCAAGAGCAUUGAACAAUUUGAUUUUGUAGUGUUUUGUUUGCUGCCUUGACAAAUGAAUCUUGCAUUCUAUUGUUUUUAGUAAUUUUGGGUUACAUUCUGAAUAUGACAUAUGAUGAUCUCUUAUAUCUUCCAAAAUGAGAAUGAUCUCCAACAUUAGAGCUGUAUUUAGUUCUAUCUCCAAUGUGAGAAUGAGAAAAUUGAGAGCUGUAUUUAGUUUUAUCUCCAAUUAUCUCUAAUAUUAGAAUGAGAAACAACAGUAGUUGAAAUGUUUUCUUGUAAUCUAUCUUCGUGUGCUAUGAUUCAGUUCUCUCUCCAUAUAUGAGAAUAAAAAAUGAGAAAGAGAAACAACAUUAUUUGGAAUGUUUUGUCGUAAUCUUCUUGCACUAUGAUUUUGUUCUCUCCCAAUAUGCGAAUGAGAAAAUGAAAAACAACAGUAUUUAGAAAGUUUUGUCGUAAUCUUGCGCUAUGAUUUGGUUCUCUCCUCAAUAUGCAAUGAGAAGAUGAGAAACAACAUUCCUUAACUUGUAAUUGAUUUUAUAUUAAUUGUUUAACUAUUCACUUCAUGUUUUUCUAAUUUGAAGAUAUCUCUUUACUAAAAACAAUGUAAUUAAUUUUAUAUUAAUUGUUUAGCUAUUCACUUCAUAUUGUUCUAAUUUGAAGAUAUCUCUUUACUACUGAGUGAAUUCAUACUAAAGAUUAUACCUUGAUUUUUAAAGGUACACCUUUCAAGUAAAAUUUGUGUCCAUCAAUAACACAAAACGCCUAUAGUAUAUAAAAGUGCUAAAACAAAUGUUGUAAAACUAUAAGAAAAUUUUAAAAUCUACAAAUAAAAACAUAAUACCAUAAAACAUAUUAUACUAGAAUCAAACUUGUUCAACUUCAAAUUACACACUAAUAAUAAAACUAAUAAUGUGGAAAAUAUUUUAAAAAAAACAUUAGUUAAUAAAGAAAUAAGUUUUUUUUUUCAAAUUGAUAAAAUAUAUAAAUAUUUAUUAAAAUAAAAUGCAUUAAAAUUUUAUAUAAUUUGUAAAAUUUAAAAUGUUAGUAAUUGUACUUGAAUUAACAUUAAAACUCUUAAAAUUUAAUUAUCAACUAAGAAGUUAAUGAAUGAUCUUCUUAAAUAUCAUAAACAUAUUUAAGUAAUAACUAAUGUAAUGUUGUUUCUCCUCCUGCUUUAAGUCUGCUGCUUUAAGUGUGUGCUGUUUUAAGUCUGCUAACAGCUGUUUAUAGGUUGUCUCAACAGUGAAUCUUGACCUCCAUUUCUAUAUACAUCCAAGAUCUUUCCUUAGUAGGUUCUGGUAUCUUUCAUUUAUCAUAUUUGACUAUUGACUUUGAUGAUUGAAUUUUGUUGGUAUUGCUUCGAUGAUUGAAUAUUUUUAGCAUUUUUUCGGGAUUGUUGUGCUUCUUACUAGUUCACUUCUUGACAAGUCUCCACAAGGUUUUGUCGAAUUAUAUGAUGUUUGCAAUUCAUCGAUGUGCUUUUGUUGUAUUGUAGAAUCCAAGAACUAUUAGUAAAUGAUCGAUUGAUGUGCUGUUAUCUGUCGGAUUACCUUUAUGUAAUGAGGCAUAAGGGUUGAAUCGGUGUUUGAACUAUUUUUGCUUAAUGUCCUGCAGCAUCGCAUGGAGUAUGUUAUGAGGCACAAAGGUUGAAUUUAUGUUUGAAUUAUUUUCGCUUAAUGUUCUGCAGCAUCUCAUGGAGAAUGUUAUGACUCAUAAUUGUGAUUUGUUUCUCUGUAGCGGUGUUUGGAUGAUUUGCAUAGUGUCUGCAUCUUAUGAGUAUGUAUGGUUUUCGCUUGGUGUCUUGUACCUCAUGGAGUAUGUUAUGAGCGACCGUCUCUCCCUUGGGUUUUUAAUUCUUGAAUUUAUCUUAACGUUCUAUACUUCGUCCUCUGUUACCUGUUAUAGAUUUUUUGUUGAAUUCUUGUUCUUUCCAGGGAUGUGUGGAGUAGGACAUGGAAACAAUGGCACGAUAUUCCUUGAACGGUUAAGCAUUAGUAUUUAUUUAUUUUUUACUCUUACAUCAAUUUUUUCUUUUACAUUAAUUUUUAAGUGGCCAAACUUGUUGGUUGGAUUUUUAUUUUUUCUUCCUAGGCAUAACCAAAUUUAUAAUGGAGGCCACUGAACGUCCAAUUUUAAUAGAUGAUAAUGACAAAUGGAUUGAAUUAUGAUAUUGUCUCUCGGGAUGCUUGAAUUUAUGAUCGUGUCUUUGUGCACUGUGAUUUUAGUCACAUAUUGGUGGUCUCAGGCAUAGAUAAAUUGAAAAGAAGGAUCUUGGAGUCAUUUCUUUCAUGUUAUUAGUGGUAAAUAGAAAGAGCUCAGGACUAUUUGGAUUCAAUUUUUUUAUUACAAAACUUUAUUUCGUCUUUAUUAGUUUCCUUUGUUGUCAAAUGAAUUUUGAACUUGGUUCUUGCAGAGCAACAAUGUUCUUGCCUAAUUUGUGUUGCCUCUUAUUAAUUUCUCUGGACUUGAUCACCUAAUAGUAAGGAUUGAUUUUUUUUUGUCAGGUGUUGCAUAGCAUUGAGCUUGGUAUGACUUUCUCUAUUGGCUUUUCAUUCUUGAAUUUAUGAAUUCAUCUUCUCUAGUUUCUAUAACUUCUAUUAAGAGCGUCAGUAGUUUUCUUUAAUUCUUGGGUUUUACAGCUAACACAAUCAAUGAAUCAUUUUGAAGGUAUUACAGUAGUUUUGGACUUGAUCACCCAACAUAUGGGUUGAAUUGUGAACUGGUUUCUCUACUGUAAUAUUUGGAAGUGUUUCUUGUAAUCUUCCUGUGUUGUGUCGAGCCUACGAGCGACUCCCUUGGUUUUGAAUUUGUGGCCUCCCUUUGUUUUCAAAUUUUGAAUUUACCUUAACAUUUCUGUACUAUGUCAUGUCAUCUCUUUAAAAGAGAUUAGUUCUCUCGAAUCCCCAUGGUUCUUGAUGAGCUUUUACGGGAAGGCAAUAAAUAUAUGUGGGCUGGUUUUAGAAACAGUAGAACUUUAGGUUUUAUUAUCUUCGCUGUUAUUCUUUUAGCUAAACUUGUGGAGUGGGAGUUCUUGUAGACCAGCACUAUAUGAGUAUGAGAGGCUUUGACAUUUGUGUUGCAGUGACUUACUAUGUGUUGCAAUGUCUGUUGGAUUGUGGAGGCAAUUGCGGUAGAUUAUUGGACUUUCUGUGAAGCUUUAGGUUUUAUUAUGUUUCUAUUCAUUAUGUGUUGGAAUGGCUGUAUUCUCUCUUGUUGGUUGAAUAGUAGGAAGCUACAUGUGUCAGUCACUGUGUGUCUAAGCUAGGGCGAUAUUUGACUAUGCUUUAUCCUUGAUCUCAUGAUCUCAACUAUCUUCCAAAAUGAGAAUGUUCUCCAUAAUGACUGCAAUGUUUAGUUAUAUUUCCAAUAUGAGAAUGAAAAACUAUAGUUUUAAAAAGUAUAGUUUUCUCCCUCAAGGCUAUGAGUGACCUAUUCCAAAAGGAAAGCUCCAACAUGAGAGCUCUAUUUACUUCUUUCGGGUUGGGGUCUCACUAUUUGUGAUUGGGUAUGGAAGCAGACUGUAUCUUAUUGCUAAUUAUAUUUCUCAAUCUUAGUCCCUUGCUGAUUUUGGUCUUUAUUAUUUAAUGUUUUUGGACUUGAUCACCUAACAUAUGGGCUGAACUGUUGUUUAUCUACAAUAGUAUUUCAAAGUGUUUUUGUAAUCUUCUUCGUGCUCUUGGUUUUGAAUUUGUGGCUUCCCUUGAUAAUUUAGAUUUGUGAAUUUAUCUUACUGUUUCUGUACUUUGUCAUGUCAUCUUUUUAAGAAGAUUAGUUUUCUCAAAUCGCCAAGAGUCUUCUUGAGCUUUUACAUGAAGGACGUAUGCGUCAGGUUUUGGUAACACUGGAUGGAGAUACAGUUAAACUUUAGGUUUUAUUAUUUUGCAUUCAUUAUUUUCUUUGUUGUUAUUCUUUUUGCUACUCUUGUGGAGUGGGAGUUCUUGUAGUUGGGCCUUUGACUUUGACUAUUUGAUUAUCUUCUUCUACUUGUGUUGCAGUGAACACUUACCAUGGAUGUUUGUUGCAGUGAAGCUUUAGGUUUUAUUACUUUUCCACUCACUAUUUUUCUUAUAUGCUCGAUUUGGAAUGUCUACAGUCUCUCUUAUUGGUUGGAUAGUUGGAAGGUAUCUUAUUGUGUGUAUUUAAGCAAGAGCGAUACGUCUAGGUCCUCCAUCUUCUACCCAGAUUGGUUAUAGUUUUCUUGAAUUCAUUGGCCUUACAGGAAAGCUAAGCAAAGUAGUGUGGUGUAGGACUUAAAAAUGGUGGGUGAAAAUUCUGUGAUCUGUGAAGCUAAAUGUUUUUUUCACCUGUACAUUGUUUGUUCAUCUGAAUUAAUUUUUAACUGUCUCAACUUGUUGGUUUGAUUAUUUAUUUUUAUUUUAUUUUUAUCAGCACUUGUUGGUUUGAUUAUAAUCUUGGUUGUAACUUGUUGAUUUGAUUAUAAUCUUGGGUGUAUUUUGAUGGUGUAUGGUUCGUAAGAGGCAUUGUGGGAUGAGCAUGAGGCAAGUGGGAUUGGGCUUUACUCUUUGAUUUGAUGGUUUGCUUCUUGGUUUGGAAAGUUCUACUGUUUAAUUUUGAUGACUUCUCUGCAUAAUCCUCGAACAUAGGCCUUUGCCUCUUUUAUUAGUUUUCCAAAACCUUUCGAUUCAUUAUUCUUGAUCACCAAACAUAUGGGUUGAGUUGUGAACUUGUUUGGAAUUUUUGCUCUUUACCGCUAUAAGACAAGCAAUGGAUGUGUGUGGGGACAAUGUAGAAACAUGGGCAGGGGAUCAUUUGUGACUAGCUAUUUGCAUGCAGUCUUUUAUUUGGUGACAGAGAUCUAUCAAAAUAAAAAGAUUGGUUGAGCAUUAAAAUCCAUAAGUGUUUAGAAUUUCCUCUAUUUUAUUUUUUCAGAUUUGAUCACCAAACAUAAGGAUUUUGUUUUCAUUUGUUUCUCUACAGUGGUGUUUGCAUUAUUUUUCAUGCUAGGUCUAAUCGAUCAUAUUAUGAGUGAAUAUCACUCGUAUAUUUAGUCUCUUUGAGCAACAAAAGCAACAACUAUGAGGUAGAAUGUAGACACCCUAGCACGUGAUCCAGUGAAGCUUUAUGUUUGAAUUUUUGUGUGCAUUUAUUCGUGACUGGCUAAACUUGUUUGGAUUUUCUGUUUUUGAUUGGAUUCUCGUGGCUAGGUUUUGGUAACCUGAAUUCUUUAGUGUAGUUAUCAUUUCCCCUGAAUUCUUGAUUGUUGUUUUGACAGGGUAGGGUUUGGGAGAAGUUAUAAGUCUUCUGGGUUUUUUGGAUUAGGAAUUGUCCAAGUAACAACUGUGUAUCUACAAGUUUGAUAUAUGUGAUGAUUAGAAAUUGUCCAAGUACCAACAGUAAGUUUGAAAUCAUGUGAUGUGCUUGUCAGAUAUUUUCUAUUAAUAUAUCUGUAUUUUGUAUUGUUAGUUUUAUUCUUGCAUUGAAUUACCUAGAUGUUUUGUUAAAUAUGAUCAUUUAACUAUAAUAGAAUUGCAGUGCUUUUCAUAAAAUUUUGACAUGAAUGGACCAAUUCCUGGCUCGAAGUACUAAUGUUAUCCAUGUGCGAUAUCAUGUUUGGCCAGGUCUAUGAUGAUUAAAGAGGAUCUGGAGAUCUUGAUUUUGGGUCUUUCCUAUUGAAGUUCUGAAAAUUAUAUUUUGUUUAGGUGUAGCAGUAUUGAAAAGAUGGAUCUCAAAGUUAUUCCUUUCAUUUUAGUAGUCGUAAUUAUUUGCCUUCAUUCUUUGAUUACAGAACUUUUUAUUUUGUCUUGUUUUGUUUCCUGCAUCGACAAAUGAAUUUUGAACUUGUUCUUGCAUAAUUUAUCAUUGGAAUUCAUGGUUUUGUCUUUGCAGGGAGGAAAUGGAGGGUUAGUGUAGGUUUGGGAAAGAGUGGAUGGGGACCCUGUGGAAAUUUAGGUUUUAUUGUUUACGUUGAUUAUGUUAUUUACCGUUAUUAUUCACAGAUAAACUUGUGGAUUGGGAAUACUUACCUCAGGCACUAUAAGUCUGUGUCAGACAUUUCUUUCAGCAACGGAAUCAUUUAAUAGCAAAGAGUUUCGUUUCCUUUUAUUUUCUUUGUUGUCAAAACAACCUUUGUUUCUUUCUUACUUCUCAACUAAGGUAUUUAGUUUCACUGUGUUCUCAGGAUGUGUUAUUUGAAUCCCUUGCUGAUCUUGUUGAAUCUCAGAAGCUUGUUAUAAUUUGGUCUUAUCAUGUAAUUUUUCUGGACUUGAUCACCAAACAUAAAGGUUGUAUUGUCAACCUGUUUCUCUCCAUCAGUAGUUGGAAUUGUUUCUUGUAAUCUGCCUGCACUGCAUUGUUUGUAUUCUGUUAAGGAGUUUAGCUUUCUUGAUUUAAUUCUCCAGGUUUCCUCUCGUCUUUUACAGGGAGAUAAUGGAUGUGUGUCAUAUGUUUGGGAAGAUCCUGUGAAACUUUAGAUUUUUUUUAUCUUUUGCAUUCAUUAUUUUCUUUCUAGUUAUUAUUCUUUGGAUAAUCUUGCAAAGUGUGAUUUUAUGCCUAAUUGUAAUAGGCAUAAGAGUUUAAGCAGGAUUCCGGUUGAGGAUUAAAAAAUAUAAAUUUGAAUAUAGUUCUUGUUUGAUUAUUGAAAUCUAUCAAACCUAGCUGUUUGAUAUGUGAUUAUGCUGAUGAAUUUUCAGCACAUUAAGGUUAAUAAUAAUGCAAUGCUCGAUGAAGAAGUCUCCCUUUUAUUUGAAACUUUGUACACUGAGCUCUUAUAUGUGAGGUAGGAUGUGGAAACACUAGCCAGGGAUCUGGAAGCUUUAGGUUUUGUUACCCUUAUAUUUCUUAUUUCUUUACGAGUCCUUGAUUCAUCGUGAAAUUUGACCCUUUUACAUGGUGCAAUUGAAAUUAUUGAGAGGAAAGAAUUAUUGAUCUUUAGUUUUAUAGUACUGAAUUAGUUUUGGAUUUGCUUACGUGUGGAGCAUUCUAUUCUUUUUAGUAGUUUUGCAUAAAGGUUGGCAAGAAUGUACGCAAAUACUUGUCCACUACCUUACAUUCUCCUUUGCGGUAUACGGUUUAGUAAAGCUCCCUGAAGCUUUACCAUAACAUCUAAUGCGUUUAUUCGUGACGGAUUAUUUUCUCUAACUUGGUGUUUGUGUUCAACAAUUCGAGUUUUAAACGGUUGUAGCUAUCCUAAUUUCUAUGAGUUUCCUCUAUAUUGUUGGAAUGAAUGGUGUUUAAUGAUUGAAUUAUUUUCUCUACUUGAUGGUUUGAAUUGUGGAAAUUCUCUUAAGCUAAAUGUUUCUUUGUUGGUUUGAUUAUAAUCUUGGUUGUAUUUUGAUGGGUAUGGUUCAUAAGAGGUAUUUUGUGGGAUGAGCAUGAGACAAGUGUGGUUGGCUUUUCCUCUAUGAUUUGAUGGUUUGCUUCUUGGUUUGAAUGUAGUUAUUUAUUUUAUGUCAGAGUUCUAUCAUACGUAACUGUUUAUCUGUUUGUGUAACUUUCUUUUCAGCAGAAUUCCGAUUUAGCAUUAAAAAAGAUAAAUUUCAAUAUAAUUCUUGUUUGAUUGUUGAAGUUUGAAAUAUAUGUUGUGUUUCACUAAUUCUCUAACUUGAUAUUACAUAUACUAAAAUUUGCAUAUUCACCAAUCAAAGCUUCUACAAGAAUGUUGUCAUUUUCCCUAGUGUUCCUCAUGCACCUCCAAAAUAGAAGAUAGAUAUACACGCCAUCUAUAUAAACUGUGUCUCCAAAGUGUAACAUAAAUAGACAUGUCUUCAAUAUAUAAAUUACAAUAAACUUACCAAGAAGGUAUGAAAUGUCAUAUUCAUGAAUUUUAUAGUCACAUAUUUAUUACAAUUGUAUAUAAAUUUAU